UACGUAGGGUCCGAGCGUUGUCCGGAAUUAUUGGGCGUAAAGAGCUCGUAGGCGGUUUGUCGCGUCUGCUGUGAAAUCCCGAGGCUCAACCUCGGGCCUGCAGUGGGUACGGGCAGACUGGAGUGCGGUAGGGGAGAAUGGAAUUCCUGGUGUAGCGGUGGAAUGCGCAGAUAUCAGGAAGAACACCAAUGGCGAAAGCAGCUUUCUGGGACGGUACUGACGCUGAGACGCGAAAGCGUGGGGAGCGAACAGG
rnacentral:rRNA from 1 species